rnacentral:rRNA from 1 species
UGGCAGACGGGUGAAUAACACGUGGGAACCUUCCUCGUGGUACGGAACAACUCAGGGAAACUUGAGCUAAUACCGUAUACGUCCGAGAGGAGAAAGAUUUAUCGCUAUGAGACGGGCCCGCGUCCGAUUAGCUAGUUGGUGGGGUAACGGCCUACCAAGGCAACGAUCGGUAGCUGAUCUGAGAGGAUGAUCAGCCACACUGGGACUGAGACACGGCCCAG